GGCUACGGAAUUAAGAUUUUUACUAUAGACUAUAGAGAUUCAAAAUAUAAAAAAUUAAAACAUUUGGAGGUCCAAAUUUUUAACAUCAGAAAAGGGAUGAUUUCAUUUUUAGUUCCUCUAUUGUUGAUAAAUUCUUAUUUUGAUUCUCAUGAUAAAUUCUCAUUUUUAUUCUUAUAAUAUUUGAGUAGCGAGCAUUAAUUAAACAAGCAUUAACUAAACAAUAAAAUAUAUUUAUUUUUAUUUUACUGUCCGGCCGCCGGCCGAAACAUUUUUCAGUUCCGACGUCAGGGCCGGAGCUGCUGUGGUUCAGUAGUGUCCGGUGAUCGGAAUUCCUUAUCGGACUCCGAUGAUUGGAAAUACCUCUUCGAAUUCUACCGCUUUUAUUACUAGCUCUCUUCACUUUUACUUGUUACAGUUCGAUUAUCGAGACAACAUUUUAUUUUAAAAUGUGUUUUUCAAUGUAUUAAUGUACAUCUAAAUUCAUCGAAGAAAUGAGUGUAAACAAGAAGAGAACCGGUGUCGGAAUCGGAGUUGCUUUGGUUCAGUGGUUGUCCGACGAUCGAAAUUCCUUAUCGGUCUCCGAUGUUCGAAAAAAUCUCGUCGAAUUCAACUGCUUUUACUGUCGGUAAUGCUGACUGAUUAUAGAGUUUGGCGAGGAUGGAAAAUUCUGUUCUUCAUUAUGCUUUUCGAAUACUUGUCUGCUUUGAAAAUGAAAGGUUCUUGUGUGACUCAUGAGAUGAACCACUUUGUGUACUUCUAUCUGGAUUUUAAAGUUGUACUCCUAUUCAAAUCUGAUUGAGGUCAGUACAUUGAUAGGGAUGCGGAUGACGAUGACGUUACAAUAUUUGAAAAUUCCCAGCUACAAAGAUCUAGUGGAAAUUUCACAUACGUGUACAUUUUCUCGUACCUUCUGGAUGCAGAUGACGAUGAUGUUACAAUAUUUGAAAAUUCCCAGCUACAAAGAUCUACUCAAAAAUUCACGGACCUGCACAUUUUCUCUUACCUUCUGGGUAAUAAGCCAUUCUGUAGCGUGGAAUGCAGGAGCAAGCAGAUUUUUAAGGAUGAAGAAGAAACUACAAAGGCAAAGCAAAAUCAAACAGAUUCGAUAGCUUCAUCUUCUUCGAAGAAUUCGAGAUCAUGUUUUAGUCCAAUGUCUUUUUAGCCUUCUAGUUUUAUUCUCGCAACAUUUACUUUGACUUUUGUGUCUUGUUCCUUUUUUUUUUAAUAAUAGUGUUACAAGAAAAUUCAGGAUUUGAAAUUUUUUUUCGAAUUUGGAAAUUCUGUUACCUUUUGUCUUAUUUACUCAAUUUGAAGUCUAUUAUUCGUACUAAUGCUUUUUCAAGAUUUAUGAAGUAUCUCUUUUUUAAGGAGUAGAGACAUCUUUUAUAACAAAGAGGGAUAAUUUGUAAAUAUCAACUUGUAUUUUAUUUCUAGCCACCAAGCGAUAGGGGCGAGUCACUUUUGCGUUCCUUUUUUAUAAGCACACAUUUUGUUGUGUUGUUGGUCUUGUGUUUAUUCCAAAAUUCCAAAUCUUGAAGAUUGUUAAUUAUCUUUGAGCUUUGAAUGAAGUUAAUGUUCAAGCAAGUGUGAGCCAAUAAGCAGGCUCAUUUCAACAGUUUAGUGAUAAUUUGACUAUAUGAAGUUGGAGUCCAUUAAUAGGCCAAAUACUUUGAUAGGCCUGUAGAGCUUACAACAAGGGCAUCCUGGUGUACUAAAGCUACCGCUAUGUGCGGUAUCCGGGGAAAAUGGUUGCAGCCGCUGAGGAUCAAACCCGUGUGCAGACCCGCCAAUCACCGUAAAGCUUGUUUGAAUAUUUUAUCAAAUCAUCUAAACUUAGUCGAUGACUAUUUGAACACCUAACCUAUACUCAAACCACAUAAUUGUACACAUAUUUCCCACUGGGAAAAAUGUAUUAGUAUUUAUUGGGUUAAUGUAAAUAUCCAGAUACAACAACUAUAAAUGAAGAAAUCACACUCCACUCUUAUUUAUGAUAAGGAUGUUUUUCGUACCACUCAGUCAUAUUAUCUCUCCCCUUUGUCAUACAAGGUGGAUCCUAGGAUAAAACAAAAGCUAUUUUAAGUUCAAAAAUUGGUGCUUGAACAUUGAUGGCUAUACUGACGGAGUUAGGGAAUGGUGGAACAAUUUCUACAUUGCUGGUAGACCCGACUAUAUUUAGCUUGCAAGGUGAAAGCUCUGAAGAGAAAACUCAAUGAUUGGAGCAAAUUGAGCAGGGGAAUUUAGGUGUACAAAGAAAGUUCCCAUUAAGCAAGCUGACAGAUACUGAAGUAAUAUUGAGAGACAGACUUCUCACUGAAGCAGAGAUGAAGAGAAAAGCAGGACUUAUGCUAAAAUAUAAGGAGUUGAUUGUAAAGGAGGCGAUUGCGUUGAGACAAAGGUCCAAAGACUUAUGGUUAGAGGAGAGAGACAAAAACACAAAGUUCUUCCAUAAAAUUGUCAAUGCCACAUAAGGUAUAAUAGCGUAGACAUGAUGUUAGUACAAGCAGAACUCAGGAUUCUACUAGAAUUGACUAGAAUUGGAGAGGAGAUAGUAGAUCUUUACCAAAAUCUAUACACUGAAACAGCGCAAUGGAGACCAAUCAAUCACUUCCACAAUUGCCCAGUUUUAACCGUGGAAGAAAAUUGAGAGUCUGCCUGCAAGAUUUGAGGAGGAGAAAGUGUUGAGAAAUAUAAAGUUGUGUGCAACAAAUAAGGCUCCAAAGCUUGAUGGCUUCGCCAUGGUUUUUUUAAGAAAAUGCUGGGAAGUGGUACAAUCAGAUAUCAUGAAUGCAUUCCACAACGUCUACGUGCAAGAAAUGUUCGAUAGGAGCUAUAAUGACACUUUUAUAACUCUGAUUCCAAAGAAGAGAAUUGCUAAAGAACUAAGGAAUUUUAGACCAAUUAGUUUGAUUGGUGACAUAUACAUAAUAUUCUCCAAAGUUCUAAUUGAAAGGCUGAAAGGAUGAUGGAAAAACUAGUCGGCUAGCAGUUCUGAGAAGGGUGGGAUUUGGGCAAAAAUGGAUUCACUGGAUAAGGUAUUGCAUUUUAACAAUGAGUUUUUCAGUCCUUAUCAAUGGUAUUCCAACAAGCUCUUUUGAUUACAUAAGGGUCUCAGACAAGGUGAUCCUUUGUCAUUAUUUCUGUUUUUACUAGAAAUGGAGGGCCUUAAUAGUAUUGUUAAAUCUGCUAAUACUAAUGGGGGGUAAGAUGUUUUCAUGUCGCUAGAGAUGGAAGAGACAACUUGGAAGUGGCUCGUCUGUAGUAUGCAGAUUUUACACUCAUUUCUUGUGAUGCUAAUAAAGAAUAGAUGAGAGUACUAAGGGUUAUUCUAGUCCUGUUCGAGAGGAUGUCUGGACGACAUAUUAAUUAGAGGAAGAGUGUCCUGUAUCCUAUCAAUGAGGUUUCUAAUAUGGAUUUCCUGAAUGCAAUUUUGGGUGGUGAGUUUGGCAGUCUGCCAACUACUUACCUAGAUACUUUAGGAGAAAAGUCAAAGUCUAUGGAGAUAUGGAGCAAUGUGGUUGAGAAGUGUGAAAUUAAAUUGGCUAGGUUGAAAAGGUCGUACGUGUCACUUGGUGGAAGAUUAACUUUCAUCAAUUCAGUCUUAGAUUCCUUGUCCUACCUAUAUGAUGGCCUUGUUCCCUAUCCUAGCAAGGGUCAUCGACAGAUUAAGGGAAAGUAAUUGUAGCCAAGUAUGUAAGGAAGACUAAUGGAUGACUAAAGUUAUAAUUCCAUAUGGAGUCGAUCUAUGGAGGUCCAUAAGAAUCUUGUGGAAUGAGCUGAAAAGUUUUUCCGUGAUCAAAGUGAACAAUGGGGCUAAUACCUAUUUUGGAAAGAUGAUUAGUAUGAAGUAGGUAAACUGGAAAGGUUGUUUUCAGAGAUACACUCCUUAGAGAAUCACCAACAUUGUACCAUAAUAGAGCUUUCAGACACCAAAAGGGUGGAGUUUCAACAUCAGAAGGCAACUCAAUGAUCGGGAAGUGUAAAGAAUGGUAGAGUUCAUAAAUUUGAUUGAACAGUUCAGUGGAUUGAGGGAAGAUAUGAAUUUGCUGGCAAGGCAGUAAAACAGAUUCGUUCAAGGUGAGCAAAAGCUUCAGAAGGUUGAACAGUACCAAAAUGUAGCUUAGCAGCUGGCCAUGGAAAAAUAUUUGGAAGACCAAAAUACCUUACAAAGUGGCAUGUUUUAUAUUGCUCUUGGGAAAGGAGGCUGUUCUUACGGAGGAGAACCUUAUGCGAAGAGGAAUAAUCUUAUGCCUUGGAUGUUUCCUAUGUGGGGAGAAAGCAGAGACAAUUAACCAGUUUUUCAUUCAUUGCAAGGUCACUGGACAACUAUAAAUGCUGUUUUUGAACCUCAGAGGCACAUCAUGGUGAAUGCCUAGGAAGAUUACAGAGGUCUUAUCAAGACUGGGGCAAGUGGGAGUGUGUGCAAAGAGUAGAAGUAGGUGGAGGAUAGUUCCAGCUUGAAUUUGGUGGUCAAUCUGGAAGGCAACGGACUGCAAAUGUUUCCAGAAUAUAGAAAACCGUGUGCAGCAGAUCAAGUUAAAUUGUAUAUUGAUUCUGUGUUUUUGGUGUAAUCAGAUACGGUCAAAUGAUCCUAUUUGUAUUCUUGAUGUUUUAGACUCAUUAUACACAUAAGAUCAUAGAUAUUGGUAGUGGACAAUACCUGAGAACAGAGUUACCUGGUAUCUGUUGCUGGUGGGAGGUGGAAGGUAUCCCAUGAAAUUAGUCGAGGUGCGCAAAAGCUUGCCCUAACACCAUUGUUAUCCAAAAAAACAAAAAAGAAAAGGUUGUGGAGAAUAAUACCCUCUUGCAUAUGGUGUUAAGUCUGGAGGGAGAGAAAUGGAAGGUGUUUUGAAAGAUAGGAUCAGGUCAGUCCACGAUGUGAAAUAGGACUGUCUGGUAACACUUUUCUUUUGGUGUAAACUGUAUAGAGGAUGUAGAGGAGUUAGUAGAUUUCCUAGGACCUCUGUAAAGCUAGAAUCUAACUUCUUUGUAACAGUUUUUUGAUGGUGGCCAGCAUUCCUAAUGCUGAAGAAUACAACAGUACUAAUUCUUUUAAAAAAAAGAUAUUGGGAGUACUCUUGUAAAUAUGGUUGUGCACAACCUGGUAAUGACCUGAUUUUAAAUAUAUAUAUGUGCAAAGUUACCAGUUUAAAAAAAAAGUCAUAUUUUCUCUCCCACUCGAGUUAGCAAGAAGCAAGGGAAAAGUGAAUCAAAAAUGCUGACAGAAGGUAAGAAAAUGUACAGGUCUGUGAUAUUUUCCACUAGAUAUUUUUGAGUUCUGAUAUAAUAGCAUCCAAAUAGCUAUCAAAAGAUAAUGUGUUUCUUUUUGGAAUUGAAUGGCCAGGAUAUGGCUUUGCCUCCCUUAGUGAUUUAGAAAGCCUUUUACAACCAAUAUUACUAAGAUUUCUACGACGUUUCUACCUUGAUUUAUGAUGCAUCAACCAAACCACUUUGUACUUCUAUAUGGAUUCAAAAGGUGUACUUCUAUUCAAAUCUGAUUGAGCUCGGUGGUGACGUUGAUAGGGAUGCGGAUGACGAUGAUGUUACAAUAUUUGAAAAUUACCAACGACAAAGAUCUACUCGAAAAUUCACGUACCUGCACAUUUUCUCUUACCUUCUGUAAGCAUUUCUGAUUCAUUCUUUCCUUGCUUCUUGCUUACUCGAGUGGGUGAGGAAAUAUGACUUUAAUGAGUGGUAUGAAAGACGUCCUUAUCUUAAAAAAAGAGUGGAGUGGGAUGUCUGUCUAUAGAAUUGUUAUAUCUCUAGUGUUAUGUUACCCCAGUAAAUACUAAUACAGUUUGAAUGUAGUUUACCAUCUGCGUUGUGAAAUGUGUUCAAU